AGUGAACGCUGGCGGUAGGCCUAACACAUGCAAGUCGAACGGCAGCACAGUAAGAGCCUGCUCUUACGGGUGGCGAGUGGCGGACGGGUGAGGAAUAAACCCGAAUCUACUUUUUCGUGGGGGAUAACGUAGGAAAACUUACGCUAAUACCGCAUAAGACCUACUGUUUAAAGCAUGAGAUGUUCGAACCUUACGCGACUGAAUGUGACGAUGUCGGAUUAGUUAGUUGGCGGGGUAAAGGCCCACCAAGGCGACGAUCCGUAGCUGGUCUGAGAGGAUGAUCAGCCACACUGGAACUGAAACACGGUCCAGACUCCUACGGGAGGCAGCAGUGGGGAAUAUUGGACAAUGGGCGCAAGCCUGAUCUAGCCAUACCGCGUGGGUGAAGGAGGCCUUCUGGUUUUAAUGCCCUUUUGUUGGGAAAGAAAAGCAGCAGGUUAAUACCCCGCUGUCCUGACGGUACCCAAAGAAUAAGCACCGGCUAACUUCGUG
rnacentral:rRNA from 1 species